rnacentral:tRNA from 1 species
UCCCUGGUGGCUCAGUCGGUAAAGUGUCUGUCUGCAAUGCAGGAGACACAGGUUUGAUCCCUGAGUUGGGAA